rnacentral:pre_miRNA from 1 species
CUACAUCUACCCUGUAGAUCCGAAUUUGUUUGAUAAUAGGCGACAAAUUCGGUUCUAGAGAGGUUUGUGUG